rnacentral:rRNA from 1 species
AUUGAACGCUGGCGGCAGGCCUAACACAUGCAAGUCGAGCGGAUGAAGGGAGCUUGCUCCUGGAUUCAGCGGCGGACGGGUGAGUAAUGCCUAGGAAUCUGCCUGGUAGUGGGGGAUAACGUCCGGAAACGGGCGCUAAUACCGCAUACGUCCUGAGGGAGAAAGUGGGGGAUCUUCGGACCUCACGCUAUCAGAUGAGCCUAGGUCGGAUUAGCUAGUUGGUGGGGUAAAGGCCUACCAAGGCGACGAUCCGUAACUGGUCUGAGAGGAUGAUCAGUCACACUGGAACUGAGACACGGUCCAGACUCCUACGGGAGGCAGCAGUGGGGAAUAUUGGACAAUGGGCGAAAGCCCGAUCCAGCCAUGCCGCGUGUGCGAAGAAGGUCUUCGGAUUGUAAAGCACUUUAAGUUGGGAGGAAGGGCAGUAAGUUAAUACCUUGCUGUUUUGACGUUACCAACAGAAUAAGCACCGGCUAACUUCGUG